ensembl:lncRNA
CUGAGAUCUCCAGUCCUGAAUCUGGUGAAAAAGGUGUAACUGCCAUAUCACAGCACGGAACGCUGAGUACAUUAUUCUUUCCAACAGCAGGAUUUGAAGUCAACUUUGUAGGAGGAAAGAGAUGGGUUUCGUAUUUGCUGCCCAAUAGUCCAUACGCUUUCCAGUGGUAUCACAGAAUCACAGAAUAUUCUGAGCUGGAAGGGAGCCAUAUGAAUCAUCAAGUCCAACUCUUGGCUCCACGUGGGACCACCCAAAAUUCAAACCCUACCUCUGAG